rnacentral:rRNA from 1 species
UACGGAGGGUGCAAGCGUUAAUCGGAAUUACUGGGCGUAAAGCGCACGUAGGUGGUUUGCUAAGUCAGCUGUGAAAUCCCCGGGCUUAACCUGGUCACUGCAGUUGAAACUGGCAAGCUAGAGUAGGGUAGAGGGGUGUGGAAUUCCAGGUGUAGCGGUGAAAUGCGUAGAUAUCUGGAGGAACAUCAGUGGCGAAGGCGACACCCUGGACUCAUACUGACACUGAGGUGCGAAAGCGUGGGGAGCAAACAGG